rfam:Triticum aestivum genome assembly, contig: Triticum_aestivum_CS42_TGACv1_scaffold_526364_6DL
AAUAUACUCCCUCCGUCCCGAAAUACUUGUCGGAGGAAUAAAUAUAUCUAUACGUAUUUUAGUUUUAGAUAUAUCCAUUUUGAUGCAUUUCUCCGACGAGUAUUUCCGGACGGAUGGAGUACCAA